AUUGAACGCUGGCGGCAUGCCUUACACAUGCAAGUCGAACGGUAACAGGUCUUCGGAUGCUGACGAGUGGCGAACGGGUGAGUAAUACAUCGGAACGUGCCCGAGAGUGGGGGAUAACGAGGCGAAAGCUUUGCUAAUACCGCAUACGAUCUCAGGAUGAAAGCAGGGGACCGCAAGGCCUUGCGCCCACGGAGCGGCCGAUGGCAGAUUAGGUAGUUGGUGGGAUAAAAGCUUACCAAGCCGACGAUCUGUAGCUGGUCUGAGAGGACGACCAGCCACACUGGGACUGAGACACGGCCCAGACUCCUACGGUAGGCAGCAGUGGGGAAUUUUGGACAAUGGGCGCAAGCCUGAUCCAGCCAUGCCGCGUGCAGGAUGAAGGCCUUCGGGUUGUAAACUGCUUUUGUACGGAACGAAAAGACUCUGGCUAAUACCUGGGGUCCAUGACGGUACCGUAAGAAUAAGCACCGGCUAACUACGUGCCAGCAGCCGCCGUAAUAC
rnacentral:rRNA from 1 species